UACGAAGGGGGCUAGCGUUGUUCGGAAUUACUGGGCGUAAAGGGCGCGUAGGCGGCGGAGUAAGUUAGGCGUGAAAGCCCCGGGCUCAACCUGGGAAUUGCGCUUGAUACUGCUUUGCUUGAGUUCGGGAGAGGUGAGUGGAAUUCCCAGUGUAGAGGUGAAAUUCGUAGAUAUUGGGAAGAACACCGGUGGCGAAGGCGGCUCACUGGACCGAUACUGACGCUGAGGCGCGAAAGCGUGGGGAGCAAAC
rnacentral:rRNA from 1 species